AGGACGAACGCUGGCGGCGUGCCUAACACAUGCAAGUCGAACGCGCUCCAUUCGGUAGCAAUACUGAUGAAGAGUGAGUGGCGAACGGGUGAGUAGCACGUGAGCAACCUGCCCCGAAGACUGGGACAACACCGGGAAACCGGUGCUAAUACCGGAUAUCCCUACUGGAUCGCAUGGUCUGGUAAGGAAAUGGAUUCCGCUUCGGGAGGGGCUCGCGGCCUAUCAGCUAGUUGGUGAGGUAAUAGCUCACCAAGGCAUCGACGGGUAGCUGGUCUGAGAGGACGAUCAGCCACACUGGGACUGAGACACGGCCCAGACUCCUACGGGAGGCAGCAGUGGGGAAUCUUGCGCAAUGGGCGAAAGCCUGACGCAGCAACGCCGCGUGGAGGACGAAGGCUUUCUGAGUUGUAAACUCCUUUCAGCAGGGACGAUUGUGACGGUACCUGCAGAAGAGCACCGGCCAACUACGUGCCAGCAGCCG
rnacentral:rRNA from 1 species